rnacentral:tRNA from 1 species
UAAUAGUUGGUGUAAAGGCACAUAUCAUUUUGAUUGAUUAGGGAAUAGUGUAAUUCUGUUACUAUUAA